GGCGCUGUGGCAGAGUGGCCCAUUGCACCGUCAGGGGGAAGGCUCUCCCCGUGACGGCUAGUCGAGGACGGGUGAGCCCUGCUCGGCCUCGCCGCGGGUUCGAAUCCCGUCGGCGCUC
rnacentral:tRNA from 1 species